rnacentral:rRNA from 1 species
GAUGAACGCUAGCGGCAGGCCUAACACAUGCAAGUCGAGGGGUAGAGGCUUUCGGGCCUUGAGACCGGCGCACGGGUGCGUAACGCGUAUGCAAUCUGCCUUGUACUGAGGGAUAGCCCAGAGAAAUUUGGAUUAACACCUCAUAGUAUUUUAGUGUGGCAUCACAUUAUUAUUAAAGGUUACGGUACAAGAUGAGCAUGCGUCCCAUUAGCUAGUUGGUAUGGUAACGGCAUACCAAGGCUACGAUGGGUAGGGGUCCUGAGAGGGAGAUCCCCCACACUGGUACUGAGACACGGACCAGACUCCUACGGGAGGCAGCAGUGAGGAAUAUUGGUCAAUGGUCGCAAGACUGAACCAGCCAUGCCGCGUGCAGGAUGAAGCAUCUAUGGUGUGUAAACUGCUUUUGUACGGGAAGAAACACCGCUACGUGUAGCGGCUUGACGGUACCAUAAGAAUAAGGAUCGGCUAACUCCGUGCCAGCAGCCGCCGUAAAAC